rfam:Xenopus laevis strain J chromosome 7L, whole genome shotgun sequence.
CCCAAGUGAUGAACCAAGGCAAAUCUGAAUCUUCUCUUCUGAGUGCGACCUCUAUAACCUUGGUCUGUAAUCUUGGUGGCUGCGGAGAAGCUUUUCCCUGUUGCUGUAAGGCCAGACCAAUAGUAUUGCUUAUUGCUUGGCCCACGACUGAUCACAAUCUGUGCAUGAGAGUGAGUGUGCAGCUACCAGCUGGGCCUACACAGAGCUACAAGAGCAAAGGAUGCAGAUUAGAGGUCAUUGCUCUGAUAGGGAGAGUUACACAUGACAGUUCAUCUUUGGUAAUCUGAUGGGA